AGUUUUGGACAAUGUGGGAAACCCUGACCCAUCCAUCCAUCGCGUAUUAUUAAUGCCUUCGUUUUGUAAAGUACUUUUGUCAGAGAAGAAAGGGCACCUCCUAAUACGAGGUACUGUUGACUGUAUCUGCAUUAUAAUCACCUGAUACCUAGGUUCCUGCAGCCGCGGUAAUACGUAGGUUGCAAGCGUUAAUAGGAAUUAAGGGGCGUAAAGAGGUGUUAGGAGGUUCGGAAAGAAAGAUGUGAAAUCCCAGGGCUCAAACUUGGAACUGCAUUUUUAACUGCCGAGCUAGAGUAUGUAAGAGGGGGGUAGAAUUCCACGUGUAGCAGUGAAAUGCGUAGAUAUGUGGAGGAAUACCGAUGGCGAAGGCAGCCCCCUGGGAUAAUACUGACGCUCAGACACGAAAGCGUGGGGAGCAAACAG
rnacentral:rRNA from 1 species